rnacentral:lncRNA from 10 species
CUGCACAGAUCAUCCUAUUGCCCAGGUAUUAAGCCCAGCAUCCAUUAGCUAUUCUUCCUGAUGCUCGCCCUCCUCCCACCCAGGUUUGCUAUUUUUAAAACAGAUUGAAGGAUUUGUGUUUGACCCACUCUCUUCUGGCUUGCAGAGUUUCCACCAAGAGAUCAGCUGUUACUCUGAUGGACUUCCCUUUGUGGGUAACCUGACCUUUCUCUCUGGCUGCUCGGGGCAGGGCCUUUUCACUUCUUUUGUGAUUCUUCAGUUACUUGAGGCCAUCUGGGCGUAUACGUGCAAGUCACAGGGGAUGCGAUGGCUUGGCUUGGGCUCAGAGGCCUGACAUUCCUGCCUUCUUAUAUUAAUAAGAAAAAUAAAACAAAAUAGUGUUGAAGUAUUGGGGCGGCGAAAAUUUUUGGGGGUGGUAUGGAGAGAGAAUGGACGAUGUUUCUCAGGGCUGCUUCGAGCGGGAUUAGGGGCGGCGUGGGAACCUAGAGUGGGAGAGAUUAAGCUGAAGGAAGAUUUUGUGGUAAGGGGUGAUAUUGUGGGGUUGUUAGAAGAAACAUUUGUCUUAUAGAAUGAUUGGUGAUGGCCUGGAUACAGUUUUGUAUGAAUUGAAAAACUAAAUGGAAUAAAAGAAGGAGAAAAACAGGUAUAAAAGGUCUAAGAAUUGGGAGGACCUAGGACAUCUGAUUAGAGAGUGCCUAAGGAGAUUCAGCAUAGUCCUGCCAGCCAAGAUUGUUUGUUUACUUCAGG